UACCAGCCCCCCGAGUGGUCGGGGCGUUUAUUGGGCCUAAAGCAUCCGUAGCCGGUUCUACAAGUCUUCCGUUAAAUCCACCUGCUUAACAGAUGGGCUGCGGAAGAUACUAUAGAGCUAGGAGGCGGGAGAGGCAAGCGGUACUCGAUGGGUAGGGGUAAAAUCCGUUGAUCCAUUGAAGACCACCAGUGGCGAAGGCGGCUUGCCAGAACGCGCUCGACGGUGAGGGAUGAAAGCUGGGGGAGCAAACCGG
rnacentral:rRNA from 1 species